rnacentral:rRNA from 1 species
UACAGGGGGGGCAAGCGUUGUUCGGAAUUACUAGGCGUAAAGGGUUCGUAGGUGGCCACUUAAGUCAGACGUGAAAUCCCUCAGCUUAACUGGAAAACAGCCCCUGAUACUGCGAGUCUCGAGGGAGGUAGGGGCAUGUGGAACUUCCGGUGGAGCGGUGAAAUGCGUAGAUAUCGGAAGGAACGCCGGUGGCGAAAGCGACGUGCUGGACCUCUUCUGACGCUGAGGCGCGAAAGCUAGGGGAGCAAACGGG